UGUGGUCAAGUUUCUAAGAGCAAACGGUGGAUGCCUUGGCAUCUGGAGCCGAUGAAGGACGUAGUAAUCUGCGAUAAGCCUCGGGGAGCUGAUAAACGAGCUUUGAUCCGAGGAUCUCCGAAUGGGGAAACCCCGCUGGGCGGCGUGCCGACCCAGUGACUCCCGCCUGAAUAUAUAGGGCGGGUAGAGGGAACGUGGGGAAGUGAAACAUCUCAGUACCCACAGGAAGAGAAAACAACAGUGAUUCCGUAAGUAGUGGCGAGCGAACGCGGAAGAGGCUAAACCGAUCGUGUGUGAUAGCCGGCAGGCGUUGCACGAUCGGGGUUGUGGGACAUCUCAGCUGCUCUGCCGAGCAGCAAGCGUUACAGACCGCGGUAGGCGAAGAGCUUGGAAAGGCUCAUCGAAGAGGGUGACAAUCCCGUAGCCGAAACCGCGCAAUGGCGCGAGGUCCAUCCCAAGUAGCACGGGGCCCGAGAAAUCCCGUGUGAAUCAGCCAGGACCACCUGGUAAGCCUAAAUACUCCCAGAUGACCGAUAGCGGACAAGUACCGUGAGGGAAAGGUGAAAAGUACCCCGGGAGGGGAGUGAAAUAGUACCUGAAACCGUUUGCUUACAAACCGUUGGAGCAGCCCUAGCAGCUGUGACAGCGUGCCUUUUGAAGAAUGAGCCUGCGAGUUAGCGAUAUGUGGCGAGGUUAACCCGUGUGGGGUAGCCGUAGCGAAAGCGAGUCUGAAUAGGGCGAUUCAGUCGCAUGUCCUAGACCCGAAGCGAAGUGAUCUAUCCAUGGCCAGGUUGAAGCGAGGGUAAGACCUCGUGGAGGACCGAACCCACUUAGGUUGAAAACUGAGGGGAUGAGCUGUGGAUAGGGGUGAAAGGCCAAUCAAACUUCGUGAUAGCUGGUUCUCUCCGAAAUGCAUUUAGGUGCAGCGUUGCGUGUUUCUUGCCGGAGGUAGAGCUACUGGAUGGCCGAUGGGCCCCAAAAGGUUACUGACGUCAGCCAAACUCCGAAUGCCGGUAAGUGAGAGCGCAGCAGUGAGACGGUGGGGGAUAAGCUUCAUCGUCGAGAGGGAAACAACCCAGACCACCGACUAAGGUCCCUAAGCGUGUGCUAAGUGGAAAAGGAUGUGGAGUUGCUUAGACAACCAGGAGGUUGGCUUAGAAGCAGCCACCCUUGAAAGAGUGCGUAAUAGCUCACUGGUCAAGUGAUUCUGCGCCGACAAUUUAGCGGGGCUCAAGCACACCACCGAAGUCGUGGAAUUCGCGCAACAGCUCGGCAGCCCUCGUGGCUGUCCAGGCGUGCGGAUUGGUAGGAGAGCGUCGUGUGGCGAGUGAAGCGGCGGAGGAAUCCAGCCGUGGACGCCACACGAGUGAGAAUGCAGGCAUGAGUAGCGAAAGACUGGCGAGAAACCAGUCCUCCGAAAGACCAAGGGUUCCAGGGUCAAGCUAAUCUUCCCUGGGUAAGCCGGGACCUAAGGCGAGGCCGACAGGCGUAGUCGAUGGACAUCAGGUUGAUAAUCCUGAGCUGGCGAAGAACCGCCCAAGUCAAUCCAGUAAUGCUAAGAGUCCGAAUCCUUGGACCGAUCCCUUCGGGGUGACGUUCUUGGGCUAGCACUCGACCCUAUGCUGGUGCGGCUAGCGUAUUAACAGG
rnacentral:rRNA from 1 species